rnacentral:rRNA from 1 species
AACGAACGCUGGCGGCAGGCCUAACACAUGCAAGUCGAGCGCCCUCUCGGGAGGGCGGUGGUCGGGUGAGUAACGCGUGGGGAUCUGCCCUUGUCUACGGCAUAACCUCGGGAAACUGAGAGUAAUACCGUAUACGCCUUGCGGUGGUAACAUAUAACGGGUAAGGAUUAGCCCGCGUGGGAUUAGGUCGUUGGUGGGGUGAUGGCGUCUAAAGCCGACGAUCCAUAGCUGGUUUGAGAGGAAGAUCAGACACACUGGGACUGAGACACGGCCGAGACUCCUACGCGAUGCAGCAGUGGCUAAUCUUAGAAAACGGCGUCAACGCUGAACGAGCCAGGGCGGUUGAGUGAUGAUGUCCGGAGAGAUAUAAAGCACGUUCAGCUGGGAAGAUAAUGACGGUACCAACAGAAGAAGCCCCGGCUAACUUCGUG